rnacentral:lncRNA from 1 species
GUGGCUAGACCCAUUUCGACCCUUUUUUCACUUCGGUUUCUCCGGUUGUGGGUUAGUCGGUUUACGGGUUUCGCGGUUCGGGUUUUUCGGGUUUCAAGUCUCACUAAUAAAUCUAAACUGGGUUUGAGAAAGAAAAAAAAAACGAUGGCAACCUUCAUACAUAUCCAGAUCUAAACGAAUUUGUGAUGCAUAGUUUGACCUCUCACAGAUCUGAACAACGAAAGGUGAAUAUUAAUGAAUAUCUGCAGUUGCAUGUUUUUUUUAUUAUGUCGUAAAAGUGUUUUCAUAAACAAACAAAAAUAAAAUGAAUGAAGAUGAGAAGAAAGAAUUUGUGUUGUGGUUUGUUAGAGCAAA